rnacentral:rRNA from 1 species
AUUGAACGCUGGCGGCAGGCCUAACACAUGCAAGUCGAGCGGAUGAAGGGAGCUUGCUCCUGGAUUCAGCGGCGGACGGGUGAGUAAUGCCUAGGAAUCUGCCUGGUAGUGGAGGAUAACGUCCGGAAACGGGCGCUAGUACCGCAUACGUCCUGAGGGAGAAAGUGGGGGAUCUUCGGACCUCACGCUAUCAGAUGAGCCUAGGUCGGAUUAGCUAGUUGGUGGGGUAAAGGCCUACCAAGGCGACGAUCCGUAACUGGUCUGAGAGGAUGAUCAGUCACACUGGAACUGAGACACGGUCCAGACUCCUACGGGAGGCAGCAGUGGGGAAUAUUGGACAAAGGGCGAAAGCCUGAUCCAGCCAUGCCGCGUGUGUGAAGAAGGUCUUCGGAUUGUAAAGCACUUUAAGUUGGGAGGAAGGGCAGUAAGUUAAUACCUUGCUGUCUUGACGUUACCAACAGAAUAAGCACCGGCUAACUUCGUG